GGUGAUAAAGCUCAGUGGUAGAGCUUUUGCCUAGUGUGCAUAUGGCUCUGGGUUCCAUCCUCAGCACCA
rnacentral:tRNA from 1 species